rnacentral:rRNA from 1 species
AUUGAACGCUGGCGGCAUGCCUUACACAUGCAAGUCGAACGGUAACGCGGGGCAACCUGGCGACGAGUGGCGAACGGGUGAGUAAUGCAUCGGAACGUGCCCAGUAGUGGGGGUAGCCCGGCGAAAGCCGGAUUAAUACCGCAUACGACCUAUGGGUGAAAGGGGGGAGUCGCAAGACCUCUCGCUAUUGGAGCGGCCGAUGUCAGAUUAGGUAGUUGGUGGGGUAAGGCCUACCAAGCCGACGAUCUGUAGCUGGUCUGAGAGGACGACCAGCCACACUGGGACUGAGAGACGGCCCAGACUCCUACGGGAGGCAGCAGUGGGGAAUUUUGGACAAUGGACGCAAGUCUGAUCCAGCCAUUCCGCGUGCAGGAUGAAGGCCCUCGGGUUGUAAACUGCUUUUGUACGGAACGAAAGGUCUCUCCUAAUACGAGGGGCUCAUGACGGUACCGUAAGAAUAAGCACCGGCUAACUACGUG